ensembl:lncRNA
CUCCCCUCCUCCUCUCCCUCCCUCCCUCCCUCUCUCUCUCUCUCAUUUCUUAAAACAGACUUCAGUCUCCCAACACGUAUUUGCGGUGACUAAUGCGGGUCCACAUGGUGACCUGCGCUCUGACAUGGUGACCUGCGCUCUGACUUGGCAGGUGCUCGGUGGGCCAGGUGCCCCAGGACUGGAGUCCCAGCCGCAGGGCUGGCGCUGGAGUCAUCUGUCCCCCAGGUCACACCUCCCGGUGUACGGGCCUUGACGACCUGCUGGCGUCCGUGUUCCUGCACUUCCCAGGUCCAGGCUUGAGGAGAUUCGAUUCCAGGUGCCUCCUGCAAGGUGUCACACACCCAAGACGGCGACGUGGGUAGCAAUGACUGAUGCCAACAGGCCACCUGCGCCGGUCAGGUGCCACGAUGAGCGCCACGUGCCACUCCCGCUUCUGCCCCUGGGGGUCCCCUGGCUUCAUCAGGGCACAGAGAGGGGAGCACCUUGCCCGUGGCACGGCGGAGAACGGCCGAGGUGGAUGGCGGCCGGGGCGCCCGCGUCUGCAGGGACCAUGACUGCAGGGAUCACAAGAAGUUAAUUGGCCAUUCAAAGCCACGUGACGGUUGUCUCUCUCGGUGGUGACAAACAGGAGACCGUGCUGGGAGGGCUCCGUGGAGGAAGCUGAUUCUCCAGCACAGGUAGGGCUUAGGCGACUCAUUUUCUAAGACUCGUCUAAUGACAAACGAGGGACAAAUGUCUUCCUAGCAGUUUCAGCUGCCAUGUGGUGCAAAACAGACUCUAUUUCUCAUAUUUAUCAGCUAACAAAUUCAUCCCUCAACAAGCAUUCCUUGGGUAUCUGCUUUGUGCAAGAACCAGCGCUGGAUCUUUUAAAUUUGUCUUUUUUUUUUUUUUAAUUUUGGAACUUAAUGACUUUCAAAACAUAUGUGUUGAAUAUUUGAGGACAGACUUUCAACCUCUGCAAUGUUCUGGAAGUUGAGCCUAGAGCCAGCUUCCCCCUCUCUUCCCAGAGCCUCAGAGGCUAUGCAUUUGUUUUUUUUGUUUGUUUGUUUUUAAUCUAUUUUUUAUUGGUGUUCAAUUUGCCAACAUAUAGCAUAACACCCAGUGCUCAUCCCAUUAAGUGCUCCCUUCAGUGCCUGUCACCCAGUCACCCCCACGCCCCGGCCACCUCCCCUUCCACGACCCCUAGUUCGUUUCCCAGAGUUAGGAGUCUCUCAUGUUCUGUCUCCCUUUCUGAUAUUUCCCACUCAUUUUUUCUCCUUUCCCCUUUAUUCCCUUUCACUAUUUUUUAUAUUUAUAUAAAUAUAUAUUUAUAUAUAUUUUUUAUAUUCAUUAUUUUUUUAUAUUCCCCCAAUGAAUGAAUUCCCCAUAUAAUGUUUGUCCUUCUCCGAGGCUAUGCAUUUGGCAUCUGCCUUCACCUACAUAUAGAUCAUUUGAAAGCCCAAAGGGCCAGCAUGAUGGCAUCCUGCGGAGCCUUUCUGCACUCAUGGGAACUUUGCAUCUGAGCUACAGGGAAGUUGAGGCCAGGAGGCUGAUGAAUCUUGAGGGGCUACUUCCUUAAACUUUAAAGAAGCGAAGUUCCCCGAGUCAGGCAGUGGAGGAGGAACCCACGUGCCAUGACCCGGUAACUCCCGGGUGGAAAUAGGGACUUGCUCCUCGCUCCUUUCCAGGUCUGCAGGGCCCCAGGCUCGAAUGAAGGAGUUGGCCCAUCAGGAAGGACAGAGGGUGCGACGUGCCGAGGGCCGCCCUGGUGAGGCCGGGAGUGCUCCACAUGAAGUGCACACGCUGGCGAACGAAGACGUUGGGAAAUAUUUUUCUGCUUAAAGUUCUGAGAUUGCAAGGGCUUUCUUAGCCCUGUGGAAUUCCUCUAACUGCCUGGGGAUUUCUAUGUUUCUAAGAAGCUUGAGGUGGCUGUUAACCUAAUACACAGUUGAAGGGAGCCAAGACGGCCUUUCCAUGCCAGCUGUGUGGUUGGCAGUCUUCUUAAAAGGCCCUUUAAAAUCAGGCAUGUAAGGGAAUCCUUCUUUCUUGAACUAGGGCCUCUGAAACCGGGUCAAUGGUUCUCAUCCUCCUCUUCCAGCUUGCUCUGCUGAAGCACAGCGUAAGCAAAUAAAUAUCAAUGAAUUGCUUAAUGAUUUUCA